rnacentral:lncRNA from 1 species
CUCACAUGACAACUUUCCCUCCAAAAGGCUCAUGUCACAGAGGCUCCUGUCUACACAGCAAACCAGCCCAGAAAGGACUGUCGCUGAAAACUUACAGACAGAAGCGGGUGGACUGCGAGCAAAGGGACAAGCUCUGUAGAAAGAACUCCCGGGAUGCGGGUAAUAAAGAGGCGAGUAAUACUGCUUCCCACAGGCAGCCACUAGCAAGCCUGCACCAGCACGGCCAUAAAACACCCACGCCUGCCAUAACCCAUAACCGGCUGUGCACAAGUCUCCCGCCCGCCUCCCGCAUGGCGCUGUGCUCUGCACCAAGCUGCCGCAGAGUGCGUCACAGGCUCCCCCGAGAGCGCUGCCUGUCCAGAGCCCAAAACUGAUUACCUGCCUUCUCCUUGCCACCACCACUGGGGUGGGACCCACCUGCUGAGCCCAGAGGAGAGUGAAACUGCAGCGAUCUGUCACCUUUACGGGUUUCCAGGACAACACCAUGGUGAUGAGGACAUCGGAAUUCCCUCGCAUCCAUCUCCUAAAGCCACGUCCUUUCUCCACGGCAAGGGCCUCCUUGUUCAGGCCUCUCCGCAGGCCAGUGACUGCUUCUCCCGAAUUCUAACCCCCUUGCAGCCUUCGACCUCACUCAGACACAGCAACCAUGAGCUACUCCAAGGAUCUGGUUUUACUAAACAUCUAUGAACAACCAAGCACUUUGCCAAGGGCUUUUCCUGUGCUGCCCUAUUUAAUUCUCAUAACAAACUUAGGACAUAGAGACAAUUGCUAAGAUACUUGCUUUGCCUAUCCAAAAACUGGGACCUGAAUGUCACACUGUUGGAAAGAAUAUAAUCUUAAGAUAGGCAGUGGCCAGUGUCCAUGCUUUUAAACACUCUGCAUUUAAUCAGGAUGAUGGUCUUAUUCAGAAAAGCCCAAUGGUGGGGAGUUAAAUAUGUACAGUGACCUGGCAAGGAUCUAUUGCCCUAUGGGGUUUUAUCAGACCCUUCAAAUCACCUGCUUGAAUUAACUCAGCCCUGGAAUUAUCUGCUCCACUCUACAUUGGGUCCAGAUUCCCCAUCAUCCUGGGAAGGGAACUGCCAGAGACCCAUUUCAUCCCAUGGAAACCAAUCCCUCCCCUUCACGGGAACCACACGAGUGUGUGUAAGCCUUGAACACUCUCCCAUUCUUUCCUCAAGUUGGCCCUGUGAUGUGGAUAGGGUCAGAGUUGGUCUAAUCCUAAGGAUGUGGGAAAGAAGCUUCAGCGUGGUGAAGGUGGAUGGUCUCCAAGCUCCUGGGCAAUACCAUGGCAGUGUAGUCAGCUUUUAGAAUUCCUCAGAGUAUUUUGUACACCACCUCCAGCUAAGGCCAAAGACCUUGCCUAGGGACAACCAACCAAAUCCCCAAAGCUGAUUGCUCUACACAUCUGACUUCAACCCCAGAACAUUGGCAACUACUGAUGGAAGCCUUCCCCUCCUUCCCAAGACCUGUAGAAUCAGCCAGAUACCAAAGCAGCGCAGUCUUCCUGGUCUACUUGCCUGAUCUCUUCUCACAGUGAGAGCAAUUUCUGAGGUGCCCUGAGAGGGAGGAAGAACCACAAUGCCUUCAUUAAAAAGGAAAUGUAAACAGCUGUCUAGCCUUGUGGCAACACUCCCCAUCGGGAGCAGAGAUGGCAAAGAGAAAACGCAGCAGAAGCAGAGAAUGCGGAAGUGAAUGGGAGGCAGCUGCUUCAGGACAAGGCACUGGGAUGUCAGUUAUGAGUCCCGGGUCCCUCGAUGGCUUCCCUGUGCCUAUACAAUAAAAUUCAAGUGUCCCA